ACCCAAGUCACAGGCAGUCACUUAACCAACUGAGCCAUUCAGGUUCCCCAACAGCACACAUUCUAUACUUUAAUUCAUUUUUUUCCUUUUGUAGCACAUCAUCAUCAAUAGUUGUGAUGCAGUCUUUUAUUUCCUCAAGGCUGCCAAACAGGAGGUGAUACAAACAUAAAGUUUGUGAUGUAUUCUCACAUGAAGAAACUGCAAACAACCCUUUUGGAAGUUUAAUUUCCUUUUAAGUCAUCCUGCACACUUUGAUUUUAGAAAGUUACUUGAAAAAGUCUUCCAUGUUAUCCUGAUUAAUAAGACACUGAAUUAGACACUGAAAGGAGGAUGGAUGAAAAUACAGCUGGAGAUCCUCAUCUGUGAAAGAUGUGUCCAUAAGAUAGCCUGAAGAAGGGCUGGAUGAACUUGGGUGAUGUGGAAGUCCCGCUCUUGGAUCUGCUGAUGACACAGGCAAGGAGGGGAAGUAGAAUGACGGAUGAAGCCUGCCCUCAACAUUAAAAUUUAUCAUUCUAAGCUCCAGCACUGGACUGAACCCACAGGAUUACAUUUAGGCAAAGUGAAUACAAACCACGCAAGUUCAAGAUGAGGGAGACAUGAAUUGACUGCAGUUCAUGUAAUCUGGGGAUUUUAAUUGACCACAGAGUUUUAUACGUACCAACACCUUGAUGUAGAAGCAACACCCAUUCUCUUUCCCCUCCACCCCAACAAAUCCCCCCCAAGAAUUCACCUCUGUACAAUCUUUGGCUGCAUUAGAAAGGUGUGUACUCAGAUCACAGGAAGGGUUGAGACUACUGUACUCUGAAUUGAUUGACAACUGUAGUGUUAUGUCCAGUUUUGACACUGACAAAUCUGAUGUGUCUAUAGUGGGAGAGACAGACCGUAUGGAGGGCCAGAAACCAUGUCAUUUGAAGAGGAGUUGAGGAACUGGGGAUAUAUUCUGAAGAAGGAAAGUCUCAAAGGCUCACCUAUCCAUACAUUUGAAGAAGUAUAGUACAACCGUUAUAGGUAUGGACUCUGGUGCCAGAUGGCCUGGGUUCAGUCAUCUUCAGGAUCUAGUGGAGAUGGGUAUCGAAUGCUGACGUUCUUUGGGAAGAGUCCUUCAAAGUCCCUCAAAUGAGAGGACUGUGCCAUGUCAGAUUCAUUUUGUAUGUCUAACAGGCCUGACACAUCCUUGGUGUUUAAUAAAUGUUUUAGCGCUCCUUUAUGAUACACAGAGAACUAAGGUCUCAGAAGCAAAUUACAAAGACAGUACCUACCCACACUGGUCAAGCACCUGGUAGCAGCUGGAAGGCAAAUAACAGGCAGCUUCUCACUGCCUUCCCCACAGCUGGCCAUGGUUGUCAUGAAAAUGAUGUGGUGAGUUGAAAUCAUAGUUGCCUCCUGGCAACUGAACAAGGAGGCAGCUUGAGUGAGGGGCCCUGGACCCUUGUGACAAAGUCCACCAGAAAUGCAUCAUGCAAGACAAAAAGGUCAACUUCCUCUGAGGCGUAAUGAAACCCAGCCUCUGGGAUAGAGAGCUCCUCCAGGGAUCUUCCUCACCCCAGGGGCUUUCCUCUCGAGAGCAGGAGAUCCUGUAAAAUGGCCUCUUCCCUAUCCCUCAGAGUUAACAUCUUUGAUUGCUGCGUAUCUCUAUUGGUUCACGGGAUUUCUGGACACUCAACAAUGAUGAAGACACCAUGGUAAAACAGAGAAAGACCCAACGAGGUCAUCUAGUCCAUCCUGACUUAAGGCAA